rnacentral:piRNA from 1 species
UUCUGUAAACAUAAUCACUACUUCCCU